rnacentral:rRNA from 1 species
CUACGGGUUGCUGCAGUGAGGAAUAUUGCACAAUGGGGGGAACCCUGAUGCAGCAACGCCGCGUGGAGGAUGACGCAUUUCGGUGUGUAAACUCCUUUUAUAUGUCAAGAAAAUGACGGUAGCAUAUGAAUAAGCACCGGCUAACUCCGUGCCAGCAGCCGCGGUAAUACGGAGGGUGCAAGCGUUACUCGGAAUCACUGGGCGUAAAGGACGCGUAGGCGGGUUGGAAAGUCAGGUGUGAAAGCCUACAGCUUAACUGUAGAACUGCACUUGAAACUCUCAAUCUAGAGUAUGGGAGGGGCAGAUGGAAUUAGUGGUGUAGGGGUAAAAUCCGUAGAUAUCACUAGGAAUACCUAAAGCGAAGGCGAUCUGCUGGAACAUUACUGACGCUAAGGCGUGAAAGCGUGGGGAGCAAACAGGAUUAGAUACCCCCGUAGUC